rnacentral:rRNA from 1 species
UACGUAGGGUGCAAGCGUUAAUCGGAAUUACUGGGCGUAAAGGGUGCGCAGGCGGUUGAUUAAGUCAGAUGUGAAAUCCCCGGGCUCAACCUGGGAAUGGCAUUUGAGACUGGUUAGCUAGAGUGUGUCAGAGGGGGGUAGAAUUCCACGUGUAGCAGUGAAAUGCGUAGAGAUGUGGAGGAACACCGAUGGCGAAGGCAGCCCCCUGGGAUAACACUGACGCUCAGGCACGAAAGCGUGGGGAGCAAACGGG